rnacentral:pre_miRNA from 1 species
UUAGGUGACGGUACUCAGUGAUUAGGUGCCGGUACUCAGUGAUUAGAUCACUGAGUACCGUCACCUAAUCACUGAGUACCGGCACCU